CCUUUGUCCCGUGGGCUGAGGUGGGGUGAUGGCGGCGCUCUUUAACCGGAGAGCUCGCCGUAGUUACCUCUAGGGGUCGAGAGGUCAUCGGGAAUGUGAACCACGGAGAGCUCGCCGUAGUUUACUCUCAGGAGGAUGAGGCGGUGACGGAGAUUGCAGCGGCCAUCUUUGACCUGGCCCUGGCCUGGCCAAAUCGUGUCAAGUUGGCGGGGCAGGAGAGGGAAGCUACAUCGCGAAGCCGAGGGUUCGUUUUAACUGAAGAUCUCUGGUAGCUGGACACAUAAACAGUUGGCCAUCAGACCUUUUUCCAUCAGAACGAGAAGAUCCAAAACCAAGUGAGCAGAAGUGAGGUUGCAACAUUACCGUGUUGUCCAAUUUUCUGUCCAUAAUGCAGGCUUGCUAGUCAGGUCAAAUGAUAUAAUAAUGAACACCGACAAUUGGGUCUGGGGCAUCAUCCUGCUUGCACAUCAUCCAUGGAACACCUGUCUGGAGACCUACAGCCAUUUGAGCUGCCCAACGGACGUAACUUUGGCCACUGGGGCCAAAUGCAGGCUCAACCAUCUGGAGACUUUUCUACUCGACGAUAUUUUCAGGAGUUGUCUCCUCCCCUCCUACUCGUGGAGUUGUUGUGUCCAUCUACUACCCAGUACGCCUGAUCCAUGAGGCAGAGGCAGAUAAGGAUUGACAGUCUGAGGUUAUUAUAGUUAUGCAGAAAAUUGUCACGGCUCUGCUUCAUCCUGAUGGUGCGUGGUUCAGAAAAGUGUUGCGGCUCUGCUUUUGUCUGAUGGUGCUUGGGCCAGGACAGAACACAGGUGUAGAGGAAACGAGCUUCUCGUUUUUUUUUUUGAGAGCAACCACAUAUUUCAUUAAUCGAAAAUCAAGUUACAUGAAGUAACACAUGUGGAAACUAAAAGACAAACCGGGAUAAAAUGAUUAUCCUGAAUUUGCAGAUAAAAUCCUAAAAGAUCGAGAAAUACAAAACGAUCCCUAGGGUUUUCUGCAACCACCGUAGCCAGCGGCCGCCGUCCAAUUCCAACGCCGCCGAGACGAACGCAAGAAAAGACGCCGAGCCUCCACCAUUGCAAGAUCCAAAAGAGCACCAUCGCCAACGAGGCUUUGUGAGUCGAUGAACAGGCUCGUUGUGUUCAUGCUGGGCCAUGUAAGGCGUGGGUAGACAAGCCCAUGAAAGAAGUCGUUCAACUCAACCGGGAUGUUCUUUGGGCCGAGCGUACUCGGGCUGAUCCCUACUGGUAGAAGUACAGUCCCGAUCAGAGCUUCCCAAAACUUUGGACCUGCAACCACCUGGGUUCAUAUUCUACAGCAGACGUUCAUGCUUCAUCUGUGUAUGACCUAUCAGCAAAUUGCCCCUCUAUGACCAAAA